AGAAAGAGAGCAGGGCGGAUUUCAGAGCUCAGCGCUUUAUAUUUCACCCGGUAUUAAGUGAUGUGGUGCUGAUACCUGGUUUAUUAUAAUCUGUGCCCUGGUCAUGCUUUAAACUGGGAGAGCAGCAGGUCCAGUGUCUAGUUCUGUGAAAAGAGCACAAACACCAGGAUGGAUCCUCCUUACUUCAGCAGGAAGGAAGAAGUAUAUGACUUGAAACUGCAGACAUUUAGAGCAGAACCUCCAGAGCCCAGCUGUGUGUCUAUGAAGAGCAACUAUUCCAUGGAGCAGCCUCAUAAUUUCAGUAAUGAAAGAAGCAGCACUGAUCUGAGACUGCAGACAUUUAGAGCAGAACCUCCAGAGCCCAGCGGUGUGUCUAUGAAGAGCAACUAUUCCAUGGAGAAGCCUCAUUAUUUCAGUAAUGAAAGAUGCAGCGCUGACCUGAGACUGCAGACAUUCAGAGCGGAACCUCCAGAGCCCAGCUGUGUGUCUGUAAAGAGCAACUAUUCCAUGGAGCAGCCUCAUAAUUUCAGUUAUGAAAGAAGCAGCACUAAUGCAGCAUUAAUACUGCAGACAAUUAGAGCAGACCCUCCAGAGCCCAGCGGUGUGUCAAUGAAGAGCAACUAUUCCAUGGAGCAGCCUCAUAAUUUCAGUAAUGAAAGAAGCAGCACUGAUUUGAGACUUCAGACAUUUAGAGCAGACCCUCCAGAGCCCAGCUAUGUGUCUGUGAACAGCACUUACUUGAUGAAUCAGCCUCUUUAUUUCAAAAAAAGAAGAAGCUCUGGCCUGAGACUGCAGACAUUCAAGGCAGAACCUCCAGAGCCCAGCUGUGUGUCUAUGAAGAGCAAUAAUUCCAUGGAGCAGCCUCAUUAUUUCAGUAAUGAAAGAAGCAGCAAUAAACUGAGAAAUACAUUCAGAGCAGAAUCUCCAGAGCCCAGCUGUGUGUCUAUUAAGAGCAGCCACUCGAUGCAUCAGCCUAUUUAUUUCAGUAAUGAAAGAAGCAGUACUGAUCUGAGACAUACAUUCAGAGCAGAAUCUCCAGAGCCCAGCUGUGUGUCUAUUAAGAGCAGCCACUCGAUGCAUCAGCCUAUUUAUUUCAGUAAUGAAAGAAGCAGUACUGAU
rnacentral:lncRNA from 1 species